CAGCCGUCGUCAGACUUGCGCAGCACCUCGACCACGCAGCCGAUGGCCACGCCCACCUCGUCGCUCUUGGAGGUGGAGUAGUUCCUCACGGCGCAGUACAGGGACCCUGAAGGCAACACGCAGACCACCCGUCAACAUCUGCAGGAGGUUGUGGACAGAGUCCGGUCCGGGUGAUCCGGUCCGGGUGAUGAAUUGUGACUCACCUCCCAGGAACCUUCCCUCCUCUUCCUCCUCUUCCUCGUCUUCCUCCUCACAGAGCUCCAGAUUCUUCCUGACUCACAUGAAAUGACCGGAAGUCCUGGAAGGACCUGUAGACGAUCACUUCCGACUCAUCGGACCAGAGAACGGACAGCAUGAAGCCUCCAGACUUCAUCAUCUUCAUCAUCUUCAUCAUCUUCAUCAUCUUCAUCAUCUUCAUCAGAAAACUUUCACUUUGUCUUGAAAAACAGAUUUUUGAUCUGAAACCUGGUUCAAUAAAGUUAUUAUCAUAAUUAUUAGGGAGAAUAGAAGGACAAACUCAAACUCUGGAUGUGUGCAGGAUGAACCCCUGGAGAAAUGAGAGUUCGGACCCGACCCACAGGGAGCCAGCAGAACCAGUUUGGCUCCUGGUUCCCCUCCCACUGCAGAACAAGCAGAUUCAGCAUUCAGCAAUGCGAGGCGUUCUAUUGUUCUGCUUGUCAAACAGGAUCUGACUUUCUGGAAGCAUAAAAUACCUGAAGGUCGUCAGACUGGAUCAGAUCAGAACCAGAAACACAAACAUCCGUCAGUAUUUCUCAU